rnacentral:snoRNA from 1 species
AGUGAAGAUGAGGAUCCAAAGCACUGGGCACUGACAAAAAAAUAAUGUUAUGAGUGACAUGCUGUUAGUGGGCCUAGAAAACCCACGCUACUGAUUCAUU